rnacentral:rRNA from 1 species
CUAUUGUUUCAUAAGUACCCGUACCGUAAACCGACACAGGUGGAUGAGGAGAGAAUCCUAAGGCCGGCGGGAGAAGUGUUGUUAAGGAACUCGGCAAAAUGACUCCGUAACUUCGGGAGAAGGAGUGCCACAGAGAUGUGGCCGCAGAGAAAUGGCCCAAGCAACUGUUUAGCAAAAACACAGGUCUAUGCAAAACCGAAAGGUGAGGUAUAUGGGCUGACGCCUGCCCGGUGCUGGAAGGUUAAGAGGAGAGGUUAGAGCAAUCGAAGCUUUGAAUUUAAGCCCCAGUAAACGGCGGCCGUAACAAUAACGGUCCUAAGGUAGCGAAAUUCCUUGUCGGGUAAGUUCCGACCCGCACGAAAGGCGUAAUGAUUUGGGCACUAUCUCAACAACACACCCGGUGAAAUUGAAAUACCAGUGAAGAUGCUGGUUACCUGCGCCAGGACGGAAAGACCCCAUGGAGCUUUACUCCAGUUUGAUACUGGGAUUCGGUACUGUCUGUACAGGAUAGGUGGGAGGCUAGGAAAUGGUGACGCCAGUUGCCAUGGAGCCAACCUUGGGAUACCACCCUUACAGUACUGGGUUUCUAACCUGCAGCCGUAACCCGGCUGGGGGACAAUGUCUGACGGGGAGUUUGACUGGGGCGGUCGCCUCCGAAAGAGUAUCGGAGGCGCUCAAAGGUUCCCUCAGAACGGUUGGAAACCGUUCAAAGAGUGCAAAGGCAGAAGGGAGCUUGACUGCGACACCGACGGGUGGAGCAGAUACGAAAGUAGGACUUAGUGAUCCGGUGGUAUAAAGUGGGAUUGCCAUCGCUCAACGGAUAAAAGCUACCCUGGGAUAACAGGCUUAUCACUCCCAAGAGUUCACAUCGACGGAGUGGUUUGGCACCUCGAUGUCGGCUCAUCGCAUCCUGGAGCUGUAGCAGGUUCCAAGGGUUGGGCUGUUCGCCCAUUAAAGCGGUACGCGAGCUGGGUUCAGAACGUCGUGAGACAGUUCGGUCCCUAUCCGGCGUGGGCGUAGGAUAUUUGAGAGGAGCUGUCCUUAGUACGAGAGGACCGGGAUGGACAAACCUCUGGUGUAUCUGUUGUUUUACCAAAGGCAUGGCAGAGUAGCCAAGUUUGGCAGGGAUAAACGCUGAAGGCAUCUAAGCGUGAAGCCCCCCUCAAGAUAAGAUAUCCCAUCUUCGGAGUAAGACCCCUUGAAGACUACAAGGUUGAUAGGCUUCAGGUGUAAGUGUGGUAACGCACUCAGCUGAGAAGUACUAAUAGGUCGAGGACUUAUC